GAGCCUUGAUGUGUAGGAUAGGUGGGAGGCUUUGAAGUGUGGACGCCAGUCUGCAUGGAGCCGACCUUGAAAUACCACCCUUUAAUGUUUGAUGUUCUAACGUGGACCCGUAAUCCGGGUUGCGGACAGUGUCUGGUGGGUAGUUUGACUGGGGCGGUCUCCUCCUAAAGAGUAACGGAGGAGCACGAAGGUUGGCUAAUCCUGGUCGGACAUCA
rnacentral:rRNA from 1 species